rnacentral:snRNA from 1 species
GAAUGUGAGGGUGAUCUGGCUGCAACAUCUGCCUCCCCACUGAUCACCAGGGUUGAUUCAGCUGAUCUGAAUGGCUAGGCGGGUGUCUCCUUCCUCCCUCAUCGCUCCACAUGCAUCCCUCCCGAAGCUUCAUGAUAGAGGAGCUUCCCCAGUAGAGGAGGGCCAUUCUUCCAUCAAGGUAUAGGGGUAGCUGCACUCCCCUGUAAGAACCUCCAAACAAGCUCUCAAAGAGUACAGUAUAUAGUUUAUCUGUAGUAUUACAAUUUCAUGGGUGCUGGGGUAU